ACGCUGGUUUGUCACCAUGGAGACUUGUGUCUGGCUCACAGGAAGCUCAAGGCUUGAUUCUUGUCCAGAAGGAGAUGGCCGUCUAGGUGGAAGGUCUGAGCCCAGGGAGACACUUCAGGAGCCCGCCAAGGCCUGACUCCAGUCAACCUCCCUGGCCUCUCCCUGAUCACGUCACCACACAGGUCCCUGCUCCACCCUGGAGCAGACAGCUGAGCAAGGCCUGAGCUGGACAGAGAGGUACCGGAGAGCUUAACCCACCAGAGGGCCUAUUAAGUGAAUUAAGUCAAGAAGACGCACCCUAACUGCAGAUGGCACCAUCUCAUGGCCCGGGUCCCAGACUGCACAUAAAAGGAGAAUGCUAGCUGAACACCAGCCUUCGUCUCUCUCUUUGCUUCAUGACUACAGAGGCCAUGUGCUGGACCAGCUGGCUCACCCUCACACGAUGGAGUGAGCCAAAUAAAAAGAAAGAAGCCCUCCUUUCACGUGGCUUUUGUCACAGCAAGAAAAGCGACCAACACUGUGGCCUUAUGGAGAGCUUUGGCAAUGGAGACCUUGACACAUGGUCCAGGGCAUUGGUUUCGGGCCAGGGACACAGGAAGCAAAAAGGCUUUGGGUGGAGCUUUGCCAAUCCCUGGGCAGAGUCCCCUCUUGCUCCCUGGGUGCAGGAGCUGCUCAUGCACCUGUGGGCACAAGCAUUCAGCUGAUCAAAGAGCUCCCAUCAGAUGCAGCCGAUUAGUGCCCGGGACCAGCCAUGCAUGGGAAGGACUGAGCAUGAAGGGUUUUUCUUUGCACAAACCAAAGUAAAGGCAAGGAUGGAGCUCUAUGGGGAGGAUCCUUGAGCAUGGCUGCAGCUGGAAGCCUCAGUUUGUGGGGCAGUGAAAUCACCGUAUAUGGCUUGAGAGGAAAUUCUCAGCAAAGAUGCAAAUAGGUCAUCAAGUAAUGGCAAAAAUAUGCAGCUGAAUGGAUGUGCCUCUGCAGUCUCUGUGGCUCCAAAGGCUGAGCAAACUCCAGGACUGAGAGCUGCAAUCCACAGAGGACAGGGACAAGAGACUCUCCCUGUGUCCCCCAGCCAGCCUCUAACCUCCUCUUCCUAUCUCCCCAUUGGGAUCUGCCCCUAGUCUGUCCAGCAUCCCCAUCCCCAGUGGCGGAGACCAGACAGGGACAGGAGAUGGCUGGAGACUCUUGCUGGUGACUAAUGCAAUACUUGAACAGGAAACAGACUGCAAAAGACUUAGGAGAGGCUAUAAUUAGCUCCUGUCCUAAAAACACUCACUUGGGAAGAAAUGGAAUUAACAUA